UACGAAGGGGGCUAGCGUUGCUCGGAAUUACUGGGCGUAAAGCGCACGUAGGCGGCUUUCUAAGUCAGGGGUGAAAUCCUGGAGCUCAACUCCAGAACUGCCUUUGAUACUGGCAACCUAGAGACUGGAAGAGGUUAGUGGAAUUCCCAGUGUAGAGGUGAAAUUCGUAGAUAUUGGGAAGAACACCAGUGGCGAAGGCGGCUAACUGGUCCAGCACUGACGCUGAGGUGCGAAAGCGUGGGGAGCAAACAGG
rnacentral:rRNA from 1 species